AGUGAACGCUGGCGGUAGGCCUAACACAUGCAAGUCGAACGGCAGCACAGGAGAGCUUGCUCUCUGGGUGGCGAGUGGCGGACGGGUGAGGAAUACAUCGGAAUCUACUUUUUCGUGGGGGAUAACGUAGGGAAACUUACGCUAAUACCGCAUACGACCUACGGGUGAAAGCAGGGGACCUUCGGGCCUUGCGCGAUUGAAUGAGCCGAUGUCGGAUUAGCUAGUUGGCGGGGUAAAGGCCCACCAAGGCGACGAUCCGUAGCUGGUCUGAGAGGAUGAUCAGCCACACUGGAACUGAGACACGGUCCAGACUCCUACGGGAGGCAGCCGUGGGGAAUAUUGGACAAUGGGCGCAAGCCUGAUCCAGCCAUACCGCGUGGGUGAAGAAGGCCUUCGGGUUGUAAAGCCCUUUUGUUGGGAAAGAAAUCCAGCCGGCUAAUACCUGGUUGGGAUGACGGUACCCAAAGAAUAAGCACCGGCUAACUUCGUGCCAGCAGCCGCCGUAACAC
rnacentral:rRNA from 1 species